CUGGUCGACCGGGCAACCGCUCCGUUCCGACAACAUCGGGACGGGGAGGAAAGUCCGAACACCAGUGGGCAAGGCGCCUCGAGUCAAUCGAGGGUCUCGCGGGCUACACCCCGCGGGAACGGAUAGUGUCACAGAAAAGACACAUCCCUUCACCCCGGCACUGUCGGGAUGGAGAGAGAAAGGUGAAAUGGUGGUGUAAGAGACCACCGCACGCCGCCGUAAGGCGCGUGGUCCCGCGCCGAGGGUACGCCUUCGGUCAGGGGAUCCCCUCUCGACGUGCAGUCGAGACGGGACACGACAAACCCCGCCCGGUGCAAGACCAAAUAAGUUACGCUCGAAGUGGCCCGCUUCUGUUCCGCUCUGCGGAGCUGCGUAACGGGUAGGUCGCAUGAGAGAAAUGGUUGCCUCGUCCACGUCACGUGGACAAGACAGAAUUCGGCUUACAGGUCGACCAACGCC
rnacentral:RNase_P_RNA from 1 species